GGGAAUCUUCCGCAAUGGACGAAAGUCUGACGGAGCAACGCCGCGUGAGCGAUGAAGCCUUUCGGGUCGUAAAGCUCUGUUGUUAGGGAAGAACAAGUGCUAGUUGAAUAAGCUGGCACCUUGACGGUACCUAACCAGAAAGCCACGGCUAACUACGUGCCAGCAGCCGCGGUAAUACGUAGGUGGCAAGCGUUAUCCGGAAUUAUUGGGCGUAAAGCGCGCGCAGGUGGUUUCUUAAGUCUGAUGUGAAAGCCCACGGCUCAACCGUGGAGGGUCAUUGGAAACUGGGAGACUUGAGUGCAGAAGAGGAAAGUGGAAUUCCAUGUGUAGCGGUGAAAUGCGUAGAGAUAUGGAGGAACACCAGUGGCGAAGGCGACUUUCUGGUCUGCAACUGACACUGAGGCGCGAAAGCGUGGGGAGCAAACAGGAUUAGAUACCCUGGUAGUCCACGCCGUAAACGAUGAGUGCUAAGUGUUAGAGGGUUUCCGCCCUUUAGUGCUGAAGUUAACGCAUUAAGCACUCCGCCUGGGGAGUACGGCCGCAAGGCUGAAACUCAAAGGAAUUGACGGGGGCCCGCACAAGCGGUGGAGCAUGUGGUUUAAUUYGAAGCAACGCGAAGAACCUUACCAGGUCUUGACAUCCUCUGACAACCCUAGAGAUAGGGCUUCCCCUUCGGGGGCAGAGUGACAGGUGGUGCAUGGUUGUCGUCAGCUCGUGUCGUGAGAUGUUGGGUUAAGUCCCGCAACGAGCGCAACCCUUGAUCUUAGUUGCCAUCAUUAAGUUGGGCACUCUAAGGUGACUGCCGGUGACAAACCGGAGGAAGGUGGGGAUGACGUCAAAUCAUCAUGCCCCUUAUGACCUGGGCUACACACGUGCUACAAUGGACGGUACAAAGAGUCGCAAGACCGCGAGGUGGAGCUAAUCUCAUAAAACCGUUCUCAGUUCGGAUUGUAGGCUGCAACUCGCCUACAUGAAGCUGGAAUCGCUAGUAAUCGCG
rnacentral:rRNA from 1 species